UUCACGAUCGUUCAAAUCUUG
rnacentral:piRNA from 1 species